rnacentral:rRNA from 1 species
AUGCCAGAAACGCGAGACGUGUCCAUGGAGCCGUCGUUUGGGUCCAGCUCGGCGGGCACCGAGGAGGCGUCGACGCGGCGCGUCGCCAACCGCAUCAUCCGCGCGCUGCAGCACCACCUCCUGCUGCUGCACCGCGCCGGCGCCGACUUCUUCGUGCUGGGCGCCACGGGCAACGUGUACACGGUGACCCUGGCGACCACGCCGGCGUGCACGUGCCCCGACCCCGGCGCGCCCUGCAAGCACAUCCUCUUCGUGCUGCUCCGCGUCCUCGGCCUGUCCCUCGACGAGGCCUGCGUGUGGAGGCAAUCGCUGCGGCCGUGCCAGGUCGCGCGGCUCGUCGCCGCGCCGACUUACCCGGAGGUGCUCGCCGGCCCUCGCGCCCGGGCGAGGUUCCACCAGCUGUGGUCGGCUCACGCGGCGGCCGCGGCCGCCAAGGCCGCCGACCAGCGCCGGCAGGAGUCCGCCGCGCCGCCGUCGGGGCGCCUCGACGGCGCCGCCUGCCCGGUGUGCCUCGAGGAGAUGGCGCCUCCGGCGGCAGAGGCACAAGGCGGCGCGGCGGCGCCGCUGCUGACGUGCGGCACGUGCCGGAACUCGGUGCACGCCGAGUGCUUCGCGCGGUGGAAGCGCAGCCGCGCGAGGCGGGCGGCGACGUGCGUCGUGUGCCGCGCGAGGUGGCGGAAGCCGAGCCGGGACCGGGAGCAGGACCAGCAGCAGUACCUGAACCUGUCGGCGUACAUGAACGAGGGGAACGACGUGGCGGACAUGCAGGUCGAGGACGGAGCUCCCUGUGGCGGAUAG